rnacentral:rRNA from 1 species
UACAGAGGGUGCGAGCGUUGUUCGGAAUUAUUGGGCGUAAAGGGCGCGUAGGCGGUGCGGUAAGUCACCUGUGAAAUCUCCUGGCUCAACUGGGAGCUUGCAGGCGAAACUGCCGUGCUGGAGUGUGGGAGAGGUGCGUGGAAUUCCUGGUGUAGUGGUGAAAUGCGUAGAGAUCAGGAGGAACACCGGUGGCGAAGGCGGCCUACUGGGCCAGCACUGACGCUGAGGCGCGAAAGCUCGGGGAGCGAACGGG